CUUUAAGAAAUAAUUUUAAGUCGGGCCUGCUCACUGAAUAUUGAAGAGUCGCGGUAUUUUGACCGUGCAAAGGUAGCAUAAUCAAUAGUCUUUUAAUUGAGGGCUGGAAUGAAUGGUUUGACGAAAUAAUAACUGUCUAAAAUUAAUUUGAUGAAUUUGAAUUUUAAGUUAAAAUGCUUAAAUAAUUAAAAGGGACGAUAAGACCCUAUAGAUUUUUAUAUAAUAAUUUUAUUUAAUAUAGUAUAUAAAUUUAUUAUAUUUGGUUGGGGUGACAAAAGAACAAAUUAACUUCUUUUAAAUAAAACAAAAAUAAUUGGGUAAUUGAUCCUAAUUUUUAGAUUAAAAGAUUAAAAUACCUUAGGGAUAACAGCGUAAUUUUAUUUGAGAGUUCAUAUCAAAAAUAAAGAUUGCGACCUCGAUGUUGGAUUAAGAAUAUUUUUUGGUGCAGUAGUUAAUUUAAUAAGUCUGUUC
rnacentral:rRNA from 1 species